AUGCCUUCCCGAGUCGGAACACCACGGAGAAGGAAAUGGCCAGGGGCUGCCACCGUGAGCGUCGCCCGGGCCAGGCCCGCAGCGACUGUGGCGUGGAGGGGGGGGGGGCGGGCCGCGGCCGGUCGCCAUGGGGGCGACGCGGUCGCGCGAUGGGGGUCUCGUACCUCGAUCCCCUGUUCGGCCGCCGCCCGACCCGAGCGCUGGCCGCAUCCAGCAGCCACAUCAUGGCGGCGCGACGAAGCAGCCCGCGCCGGCGCCUCCCUGCCGCUCCCCUCUCCCUCUAACCUUGCUCCGCCACCCGUCGCUCGGCGCCUUUCGCCCGUUGGCCUCCUCCUCCCUGGAUCUCGGCUGGUCGAUCAUGCCCAUGGGCGCGUGACCGCAGGCGGUGAGGGCCGAGGCGGCAGGGCUGCGACCAGGCAGCAGCCACCAGGUUGCGACCGGCGACGAGGGGUCUCUCCGCAACUCCCAGUAUGUCACCGGCAGGUACAAGCAAAGUCCUCUCUGUCUGUGCUGGACGUGGCCUUGCGGCUUGCUGGCCUGGUGCAGACCUCAUGUGAAUUGGUGAUUCUUGUUCGUUACUUUCAGCGAAGUAGGGGACGGACAUGCCGGUUGUUGGUGCACCACUUGGUAACACCGAUGCAUAUGUACGCGACUUGGUCACUGGUGGCGGCUUCUUGGUUCGGUGGCAACAUCUCAUCUACAGAGCAUAUGUACGCGACUUGGUCGCCGGCGGUGAACCACACAUUUGUGGAGGUCAGUAGCAAGAAGGUAUGCUAUGUUCUUGACUUUCCUCCUGAUAAGGAGGUUGUUCUAUUCGAGUGUGACUGGUUUGAUGUGCCUCCUGCCAACAGAACUGAGAGCCUUGAUGAAGCUGUUGAAGCCGAUGAAGGUGGUGCGGCAGACCUACUGGAAGUCGUCGAUGCAGAAAUUACAGUGCCUGAAGAGAUCACUAGUUGCCGUAGAAAUGAUGAUGAAGGAUCCAUCGUUGAUCCCAGUGGUCUGAACCAUGGUCUGCAGCACGGAGGUCGAUCCGAGCGUUGGCCAAAAAAAGAGUCCCACUGGUCAUCAACCCUGGAGGUCGGCGUGGAUGCCACCCGCGCCCAGUCAGUGCCAGCGAGGCCUCGGGUGCAUAGGUUAGGGGCUGCGGCUAUAGAAGUCCUCGGUCAGAUUCAGAUCUGGAUCUAG
rnacentral:rRNA from 1 species